CUAACUUCCCUUCUUCCUGCCUGUUUUCCUGAAGUUGCGUCUGCAGGCUUCCUCUUAAUUCUAUGGAUCAUGCAAUAGUCUUUCAAGAAAUUAUCUUCUGCUUAGCUAGUCACUUCCUGUUGCUAGAACCAUGAAGAGGCCUGGUGAAAGAUGUUCAGUAUACUACCUGCAUCAGCUGCUACUGCUAUGUGACAAGCAAAUUUUCCAGAAACACUGACAUGGAAACAGGAUCUUUCUUCUCCUACUGUUUGUUCCUCGACUACAGUUAUAAUCCUCUAUUUGUGACAUCAUAAUUAGUUGCCACUGGAGAAGACGAUCGUGUCACAAAAGGAUUAGGACCUAAGCAAUCUCCACUGAUGGAGGCAAGAUGGCUGCCAUGGG
rnacentral:lncRNA from 10 species